rnacentral:pre_miRNA from 1 species
AGAGGAAUAACUGGGUCAAAUGGUGUUUGUAUUCCUAGUUUUUUGAGAAAUCUCCAUACUGUUUUCCACAGUGGUUGCACCAAUUUGCAGUCCCAGCAGCAAU